GAAUUCGCCCUUAGAGUUUGAUCCUGGCUCAGGACGAACGCUGGCGGCGUGCCUAACACAUGCAAGUCGAGCGGAGACAUCAGAGAGCUUGCUCAAAGAUGUUUUAGCGGCGGACGGGUGAGUAACGCGUGAACAAUCUGUCCCAGUCAGGGGGAUAACAACUGGAAACAGUUGCUAAUACCGCAUAAGACCACGAACCGGCAUCGGUUUGAGGUAAAAGGAGUAAUCCGGAUUGGGGUGAGUUCGCGUCCGAUUAGAUAGUUGGCGGGGUAACGGCCCACCAAGUCAGCGAUCGGUAGCCGACCUGAGAGGGUGAUCGGCCACAUUGGAACUGAGAGACGGUCCAAACUCCUACGGGAGGCAGCAGUGGGGAAUAUUGGGCAAUGGGCGAAAGCCUGACCCAGCAACGCCGCGUGAGGGAAGAAGGUUUUCGGAUUGUAAACCUCUGUCCUCAGGGACGAAGAAAGUGACGGUACCUGAGGAGGAAGCCCCGGCUAACUACGUGCCAGCAGCCGCGGUAAUACGUAGGGGGCGAGCGUUGUCCGGAAUGACUGGGCGUAAAGGGCGUGUAGGCGGCCUGAUAAGAAUGAAGUGAAAGUCCUGCUUUCAAGGUGGGAAUUGCUUUGUUGACUGUCGGGCUUGAGUGCGGAAGAGGUAAGUGGAAUUCCCAGUGUAGCGGUGAAAUGCGUAGAGAUUGGGAAGAACACCAGUGGCGAAGGCGACUUACUGGGCCGUAACUGACGCUGAGGCGCGAAAGCGUGGGGAGCGAACAGGAUUAGAUACCCUGGUAGUCCACGCUGUAAACGAUGAAUGCUAGGUGUAGCGGGUAUCGACCCCUGCUGUGCCGCAGUAAACACAAUAAGCAUUCCGCCUGGGGAGUACGGCCGCAAGGUUGAAACUCAAAGGAAUUGACGGGGGCCCGCACAAGCAGCGGAGCAUGUGGUUUAAUUCGACGCAACGCGAAGAACCUUACCAGGUCUUGACAUCGAUGUAAAGCUGUAGAAAUACAGUGUGGCUUCGGCCGACAGAAGACAGGUGGUGCAUGGUUGUCGUCAGCUCGUGUCGUGAGAUGUUGGGUUAAGUCCCGCAACGAGCGCAACCCCUAUUGUCAGUUACUAACGAGUGAAGUUGAGGACUCUGGAGAGACUGCCGGGGAUAACUCGGAGGAAGGUGGGGACGACGUCAAAUCAUCAUGCCCCUUAUGACCUGGGCUACACACGUGCUACAAUGGUGUUGAACAAAGAGGAGCGAGCCUGUGAAGGUAAGCGGAUCUCAAAAAAGACAUCUCAGUUCGGACUGUGGGCUGCAACCCGCCCACACGAAGUUGGAGUUGCUAGUAAUCGCGAAUCAGAAUGUCGCGGUGAAUACGUUCCCGGGCCUUGCACACACCGCCCGUCA
rnacentral:rRNA from 1 species